rnacentral:rRNA from 1 species
CCUACGGGAGGCAGCAGUGGGGGAUAUUGGACAAUGGGGGAAACCCUGAUCCAGCGACGCCGCGUGAGUGAAGAAGUAUUUCGGUAUGUAAAGCUCUAUCAGCAGGGAAGAAAGAAAUGACGGUACCGGAGUAAGAAGCCACGGCUAACUACGGGCCAGCAGCCGCGGUAAUACGUAGGGGGCAAGCGUUAUCCGGAUUUACGGGGUGUAAAGGGAGCGUAGACGGCAGCACAAGGCUGGAGUGAAAUCCCGGGGCUUAACCCCGGAACUGCUUGGGAAACUGUGCGGCUGGAGUGCAGGAGGGGUAAGCGGAAUUCCUAGUGUAGCGGUGAAAUGCGUCGAUAUUAGGAGGAACCCCGGUGGCGAAGGCGGCUUACUGGACUGUACCUGACGUUGAGGCUCGAAAGCGUGUGGAGCAAACAGGAUUAGAUACCCCUGUAGUC